GAGUUCUAAUAUCGGACAACACCAUUUCUUUGACCCAACUCGUCUUCUCCGUCAAGCCAAUAAUUGAGCGAGGAAUUUUCUUGAAGAAGAUGACUUCCACUGGGAGUGGUUCCAAAUUGUGAGCUGAAAACAAAGAGCUCUACGGACCCACAUGAGAUCCUGAGAAUUUGGGAAUUUGGCUUGUUGCUUGGUGAUCGAGUAAGUGGUCUCAUUUCCAAAGGGUUAAAGUCCUUUCCUUGAUGCAUAGAAGUGAUGUUUCGUACCGCCUCUGUAUUAUCAGCUUCCAUGAAAUCAUAUAGAUUAGUACGAAGCCAUUCUCUGAAACUUCCCUGAUUAAUGUUUUCAGUCCUCAAUCCAAAGGCUCCAAACCAAAUCAGGCGUGUUUGAUUGCAGAGAAAGAAUACUUGAGAUGUAAUUGACAUAAUUGAGGCCAAUUAUAAAUAGACCUCCCAAUCUGCCGUCCACAUACACACGUAGACACAUAAGUUUCUUCAUCUUCAUCUUCAUCAUCUUCUUAUUACUUGCAAGCACGCCAUGAAGCAGCCAGAGACAGGCCCAAAUCCUGCAGACCAGCACAAGAAAAAAGAGGAGCAUAAGACGCCCACACAUGAGAAAAAGCAAGAACAACAACAUCCUUCUCAUAAGACAAAGGAACAUGAGGAGACGACGAAGGCGUCUACCCACAAAAAUUAAAAAUAAUGAUGAAGGCUCUGGAAAUUAGUCGAAGGAGGAUGAGGAGGCUCAUGCGAAGCACCACCAUCAUCUCUUUGGCUAAACAUAUUACAUACACCACGUGCGCGUGCAUAUUUAUAUGUGUGUAUUUAUGUAUGAAUGUAAAAGCACGUACUUGAGGCAUCACCAUUGUCCAAGUGCUUUUUAUGAUUUGCCUUGUGUACUUCUGUGUUGUGUUUCUUUUGUGGUUUUAUGAUUUGCCUUAUGUAUUUUGAGUUGUGUUUCGUUUGUGGUUUCAGCAAAUAAUAACUUCUGAGUGAUGAGUUUGGAGACUGUUCUCUCUCUA